UGGGGAAUUUUGGACAAUGGGCGAAAGCCUGAUCCAGCAAUGCCGCGUGUGUGAAGAAGGCCUUCGGGUUGUAAAGCACUUUUGUCCGGAAAGAAAUCCUUGGCUCUAAUACAGUCGGGGGAUGACGGUACCGGAAGAAUAAGCACCGGCUAACUACGUGCCAGCAGCCGCGGUAAUACGUAGGGUGCAAGCGUUAAUCGGAAUUACUGGGCGUAAAGCGUGCGCAGGCGGUUUGCCAAGACCGAUGUGAAAUCCCCGGGCUCAACCUGGGAACUGCAUUGGUGACUGGCAGGCUAGAGUAUGGCAGAGGGGGGUAGAAUUCCACGUGUAGCAGUGAAAUGCGUAGAGAUGUGGAGGAAUACCGAUGGCGAAGGCAGCCCCCUGGGCCAAUACUGACGCUCAUGCACGAAAGCGUGGGGAGCAAACAGGAUUAGAUACCCUGGUAGUCCACGCCCUAAAACGAUGUCAACUAGUUGUUGGGGAUUCAUUUCCUUAGUAACGUAGCUAACGCGUGAAGUUGACCGCCUGGGGAGUACGGUCGCAAGAUUAAAACUCAAAGGAAUUGACGGGGUCAUAGCUGUUUCCU
rnacentral:rRNA from 1 species